GGAUAAGAAAGUGCAUGCGUUGUUUGUGCAUUUUUUAAUCACUUAAUACGAGAUUGUUUUUAUUAUAAAUAGUAAAUAAUAUUCUCUUUAUAGCAUUAAUAUUAUAUUAUUAUUUGAUAUUGUAAAAAAUCAAUAGAUAUAAAUACUUUAUAUUUAACGCAAUGGUGUUAAAUAAGUACCAAGUAUCUUGUGUGGUUAGUUAUAGUAUUAAUAAAGAGUAAUAAUGCAACAAAACUCUAGAAUAUUC
rnacentral:misc_RNA from 1 species